rnacentral:rRNA from 1 species
AUUGAACGCUGGCGGCAGGCUUAACACAUGCAAGUCGAACGAGCGGCGGACGGGUGAGUAAUGUCUGGGAAACUGCCUGAUGGAGGGGGAUAACUACUGGAAACGGUAGCUAAUACCGCAUACCAUCAGAUGUGCCCAGAUGGGAUUAGCUAGUAGGUGGGGGAAUGGCUCACCUAGGCGACGAUCCCUAGCUGGUCUGAGAGGAUGACCAGCCAUACUGGCACUGAGACACGGUCCAGACUCCUACGGGAGUCAGCAGUGGGGAAUAUUGCACAGUGGGCGCAAGCCGAAUGCGGCCAGGCCGCGUGUGUGAAGAAGGCCUUCGGGUGGUAAAGUACUUUCAGCGAGGAGGCGUUACUCGCAGAAGAAGCACCGGCUAACUCCGUGCCAGCAGCCGCGGUAAUUC